UACGUAGGGGGCUAGCGUUGUUCGGAAUUACUGGGCGUAAAGGGCUCGUAGGCGGCCAACUAAGUCAGACGUGAAAUCCCUCGGCUUAACCGGGGAACUGCGUCUGAUACUGGAUGGCUUGAGUUUGGGAGAGGGAUGCGGAAUUCCAGGUGUAGCGGUGAAAUGCGUAGAUAUCUGGAGGAACACCGGUGGCGAAGGCGGCAUCCUGGACCAACACUGACGCUGAUGAGCGAAAGCCAGGGGAGCAAACGGG
rnacentral:rRNA from 1 species